CCUACGGGUGGCAGCAGUGGGGAAUAUUGGACAAUGGGGGGAACCCUGAUCCAGCGACGCCGCGUGAGUGAAGAAGUAUUUCGGUAUGUAAAGCUCUAUCAGCAGGGAAGAAAAUGACGGUACCUGACUAAGAAGCCCCGGCUAACUACGUGCCCGCAGCCGCGGUAAUACGUAGGGGGCAGGCGUGAUCCGGAUUUACUGGGUGUAAAGGGGCCGUACACGGGGCAGAAAGUCUGAUGUGAAAGUGCGGGGCCCAACCCCGGGACUGCAUUGGAAACUGUUGAACUGGAGUACAGGAGAGGUAAGCGGAAUUCCUAGUGUAGCGGUGAAAGGCGUAGAUAUUAGGAGGAACACCAGUGGCGAAGGCGGCUUACUGGACUGUAACUGACGUUGAGGCUCGAAAGCGUGGGGAGCAAACAGGAUUAGAUACCCUAGUAGUC
rnacentral:rRNA from 1 species